UACGUAGGGUGCGAGCGUUAAUCGGAAUUACUGGGCGUAAAGCGUGCGCAGGCGGUUUUGUAAGCCCGAUGUGAAAUCCCCGGGCUUAACCUGGGAAUGGCAUUUGGGACUGCAAGGCUAGAGUGUGGCAGAGGAGACUGGAAUUCCUGGUGUAGCAGUGAAAUGCGUAGAUAUCAGGAGGAAUACCGAUGGCGAAGGCAGGUCUCUGGGCUAACACUGACGCUCAUGCACGAAAGCGUGGGGAGCAAACAGG
rnacentral:rRNA from 1 species